UAAACCGUGAAAAGUUGUUAAAUUAUUGCACUUUUUCUCAAGUUUUCAUUUCCAGGAAGCAGCAUUAAAGUGUCACAGUUGAAUGUUGUUUCCCGUAUUUCCUACUGCAGGAUCCGCUUCUUUCUGGAAGCAAUAGUUUGUUUCUGGUUGAGAGCUUCCCGCAUACUGAACACUGGCGUGUUUGCAUUUAAUGUUGGCCAGCUAGCUUACAGCUCGGCUGAGGUUCUUUGGGGUUCCGCGGCAUCCUGCCGAACGUUUUGAUGUCGUGCAUUCUUUAACAGAAUUCACGAUGUUCCCGAUGCGAACGAUUGUUAAGAGCCUGGAGGCUUUGCGGCUGGUUGAUUCCGUAUCCGCUCUGCGGAGCGGUACUCCAACGAUGCAAAUAUCCCCGCAAAACUUUUCCAGGAUAGAUCUGGGAGAGUGCGUACGCCAAAUAAGAGGAUUGACUUCAGCUACCGUGAUACCAAAAGGACCGGAGAAAACGGGGGACGGCGUUUCGUUGGUACACGGGUCAACCACAACGAAAACCCAGACGCCCUACAACUCGCUUUUGCCUAACAUUGAAAGAACAUACUGGUCUUCGCCGUUUCCUUCCGGACAUUUUCCUUUGAUAACACCGCUACCUGUGGUUCCCAUACAGUCGCCCUGGGAAGCAACCGUCACCAACCGCCUACCAUCUCUCUGGAAUAUCGAAAAAUUUGAUCCGCUUCCCAGUACGCUGUAUCCCGUGGAAGCGCCCACUUUAGAACAUUUAAAAAUCGAGAAACAGGCAGCGCGUUUAAUUCGCAUACGGCGGAGAAAGAUGAAGAAGCACCAGUAUAAAAAGCUCCGUAAGCGAAUGGGACUCCUCUGGGAUCGGAUCAAACUGCGCCGUAGAUUACGUCGAUUCAAAGCCUUCUACGCUGAGCAGGACCUGAUUAUCACCAAGGCCAAAGAAUUCAGCCCGGAAGCAUAUGUGCGGAAUUACAUUGCGGCGGCGAAGGCCAGCAUCAUUGAACGGGCUAUGCCGCCCCCGAAGCCGGUGCAUGUCAAACCCAAACCCUGGAAACCGAGAAUAUUCCGAUAGGAGAACGGAACGGCGUUUGCUUAUUUUGUGUACAUUGUACGCUGCGAUCAGGAUAGCGCCUUUGAGUCAACCGCACUGACCAGCAUAAAUCCCGUAUGGAAUUGGUUUCGCCCUGGACUAGGCGCUCGGACGAAAGUGUCUUCAGUUGGGGUAUAAAUCGCGUUUCCCGCAUGCAGCGCUCAUGAACACUGGACAUACGUUUGCCACAAUCCAGCGCCGCCAGGGCAUCCUGUUGAAUUUGCGGAUUCUCGCACUGGUUAAGUAAUCCGGACAUUUGGUCAAUGAACGUGCGCGCUUCCGGUUGAUCAGGUUUACAGCGGGCUAUGUAAUCACCGAAGCACUGCAGUGCUUGCUUAUAAGCCCUGAGAAAAGCAGUAAGGUUUUCGUUAGACGUCAAAUAAUACAGAGUACUUCAUUAUGAUUUUAAACAUGAACACCAUCAAUGUUGCAGCAAUUAACGUUCUUACACGCACUACUUUGCGACAAGAAGCCACCAAUACUUGGAUUUAUUUUUGUCCAUAUACCAUGCUGCUUAAUUCAACGGAAUUACAGCAACUGCACGCAGCUGUAAUACCGUCGAUAAACUUACGUGCAGACUUGACGAAAAUCUUCGCUCGUUCGGAGCGCAAACGGACUCCUUUGUAUAAUGGGUGGUAAGGCGCUGAAAUGUUUAAUACACGACGGUGGCGGGAAAUCAUCACAGCUAUCGGGAAGUUCCGGUUCGUUCUCCGGUAAGGAUUCGGCUAACUCGGCCUCAUGGUCGGGUAUUAUGGUGUCCUCCGGGAUCACUGUGGGAUCGUAUUCCGCUUUGACCCCGUUGGGAUCGCUGUAAUCACCCUCGCCGCGGUCAAUGUGGCGGCCGUACACCUGGAUGAGGAGAAAUAGCGGCAGAAUACUAACGAGCUGCAUCCCGGAUAUUUUGACGGUAGAAUAAAACGCAGAGAAUUGCUGAAAUGCUGAACGGUAUCUACAGCUGCGUUUGCCGGUUUUUGAUUAAGCGAUAAAAUUGGCAAUUACACGGUCUGAGUAGUAAUUAAUGAAACCACACACGUAUACACGCAGGUUUUCCUUCUUAUACUGGAGACAUGUGGGCAAUAAGGUGAUCUUUGUCCUGUGGCUCAUUGUUUACGUAACCGCAGCCAUUUUCUAGUAAAAAUUGCGGUUUCCGUACAACUCGGCUGUUGACAAACGUCCAAAUUGCCUUUGCCGUCAGUCGAAGAGUUCGAUCUGGAUUUGAGUGGGGAAACGGUUACUGUGGAUGACCGCCAAACGUCCUAGGCUCGCUGGUUGUAAUUUGUGGUUGUAAUUUGCAGGAUGAUUCACGCACGCACACCACACAACCAAUGUAGAGGUUUAUUUUGUGCUUUUGAACGAUGGCAAUAUAACGAUCCGAUAUAAAUGCAAAUUUCCGUAGAUCUGGGUAAACUUCCGGUCACCCCAUGCGUAUCAGAU